GGGAUUGCCCUAGUAACGGCGAGUGAAGCGGCAACAGCUCAAAUUUGAAAUCUGGCUCUUUUAGAGUCCGAGUUGUAAUUUGCAGAGGGCGCUUUGGCUUUGGCAGCGGUCCAAGUUCCUUGGAACAGGACGUCACAGAGGGUGAGAAUCCCGUACGUGGUCGCUAGCUAUUGCCGUGUAAAGCCCCUUCGACGAGUCGAGUUGUUUGGGAAUGCAGCUCUAAAUGGGAGGUAAAUUUCUUCUAAAGCUAAAUAUUGGCCAGAGACCGAUAGCGCACAAGUAGAGUGAUCGAAAGAUGAAAAGCACUUUGGAAAGAGAGUCAAACAGCACGUGAAAUUGUUGAAAGGGAAGCGCUUGCAGCCAGACUUGCUUGCAGUUGCUCAUCCGGGCUUUUGCCCGGUGCACUCUUCUGCAGGCAGGCCAGCAUCAGUUUGGGCGGUGGGAUAAAGGUCUCUGACACGUUCCUUCCUUCGGGUUGGCCAUAUAGGGGAGACGUCAUACCACCAGCCUGGACUGAGGUCCGCGCAUCUGCUAGGAUGCUGGCGUAAUGGCUGUAAGCGGCCCGUCUUGAAACACGGACCAAGGAGUCUAACAUCUAUGCGAGUGUUUGGGUGUCAAGCCCGAGCGCGUAAUGAAAGUGAACGGAGGUGGGAACCCGCAAGGGUGCACCAUCGACCGAUCCUGAAGUUUACGGAAGGAUUUGAGUAAGAGCAUGGCUGUUGGGACCCGAAAGAUGGUGAACUAUGCUUGAAUAGGGUGAAGCCAGAGGAAACUCUGGUGGAGGCUCGCAGCGGUUCUGACGUGCAAAUCGAUCGUCAAAUUUGGGCAUAGGGGCGAAAGACUAAUC
rnacentral:rRNA from 2 species